UGGGGAAUAUUGCGCAAUGGCCGCAAGGCUGACGCAGCGACGCCGCGUGGGGGAGGAAGGUCUUCGGAUUGUAAACCCCUGUUGCCCGGGACGAACGAGUGGUUUCGACCACUGUGACGGUACCGGGUGAGGAAGCACCGGCUAACUCCGUGCCAGCAGCCGCGGUAAUACGGAGGGUGCGAGCGUUGUCCGGAAUCACUGGGCGUAAAGGGCGCGUAGGCGGUCUGCUAAGCGUGCGGUGAAAGCUCGGGGCUUAACUCCGAGUCGGCCAUGCGAACUGGCGGACUGGAGCACUGUAGAGGCGGGUGGAAUUCCGGGUGUAGCGGUGGAAUGCGUAGAGAUCCGGAAGAACACCGGUGGCGAAGGCGGCCCGCUGGGCAGUGGCUGACGCUGAGGCGCG
rnacentral:rRNA from 1 species